CAGCCGCCACGGUAAUACGGAGGGGGCUAGCGUUGUUCGGAAUUACUGGGCGUAAAGCGCACGUAGGCGGCUUGGUAAGUUAGAGGUGAAAGCCUGGAGCUCAACUCCAGAAUUGCCUUUAAGACUGCCGAGCUAGCAGGUGAGAGAGGUAAGUGGAAUUCCGAGUGUAGAGGUGAAAUUCGUAGAUAUUCGGAAGAACACCAGUGGCGAAGGCGGCUUACUGGCUCAUACUGGACGCUGAGGUGCGAAAGCGUGGGGAGCAAACAGGAUUAGAUACCCGCGUAGUCCCUGUCUCUUAUAC
rnacentral:rRNA from 1 species